UGUGACGGCGUGCCUUUUGCAUAAUGAGCCUACGAGUUAAUUUUACUAGCGAGGUUAAGUGGUUCAGCCACGGAGCCGGAGCGAAAGCGAGUCUGAAUAGGGCUGAUAGUUAGUAGGAUUAGACGCGAAACCUUGUGAUCUACCCAUGGGCAGGUUGAAGCUUUGGUAACACAGAGUGGAGGACCGAACCCGUUGACGUUGAAAAGUCUUGGGAUGACUUGUGGGUAGGGGUGAAAGGCCAAUCAAACUGGGAGAUAGCUCGUACUCUCCGAAAUGCAUUUAGGUGCAGCGUUGAUAUAUAGUUUAUUAGAGGUAGAGCUACUGAUUGGAUGCGGGGGCUUCAUCGCCUACCAAUUCCUGACAAACUCCGAAUGCUAAUAAAUGAUAAUCAGCAGUGAGGGCAUGGGUGCUAAGGUCCAUGUCCGAGAGGGAAAGAACCCGGACCACCAGCUAAGGUCCCUAAAUAUAUGCUAAGUUGAAAGAACGCGGUUGAACUGCCUAGACAGCUAGGAUGUUGGCUUGGAAGCAGCCAUUCAUUUAAAGAGUGCGUAACAGCUCACUAGUCGAGCGGUUCGGCAUGGAUAAUAAUCGGGCAUAAGCAUAUUACCGAAGCUAUGGGAUAUAUAAUAUAUCGGUAGGAGAGCAUUCUAUAGGGGUAGAAGGUGUACUGCGAGGUAUGCUGGACUGUAUAGAAAAGAAAAUGUAGGCAUAAGUAACGAUAAAGGGGGCGAGAAACCCCCUCACCGAAAGACUAAGGUUUCCUCAGCUAUGCUAAUCAGCUGAGGGUUAGUCGGGACCUAACGCGAACCCGAGAGGGGUAGUGGAUGGACAACAGGUUAAUAUUCCUGUACUUGCUCACAAUAAAAGGGGACGGUUUUAAGAAACUACUGGAGACUGACGGAAUAGUCAAGACCUAGCCUACGGGCGAAGUUGUUGUAGCGUAUUAAGAUCCAAGAAAAGCCGAAGUGAAGCAACCCGUACCAAAACCGACACAGGUAGUCGAGGAGAGAAUCCUAAGGUGCUCGAGUGAGUCGUGGCUAAGGAACUAGGCAAAAUGGUCUCGUAACUUCGGGAGAAGAGACGCCAUCAGUAAUGAUGGCCGCAGAAAAGAGGCCCAGGCGACUGUUUAUCAAAAACACAGGACUCUGCAAAAUCGAAAGAUGAAGUAUAGGGUCUGACACCUGCCCGGUGCUGGAAGGUUAAGGGAGGAUGUUAGCGUUUACGCGAAGCAUUUGACUGAAGCCCCAGUAAACGGCGGCCGUAACUAUAACGGUCCUAAGGUAGCGAAAUUCCUUGUCGGGUAAGUUCCGACCUGCACGAAUGGUGUAACGAUCUG
rnacentral:rRNA from 1 species